UGCUCAUACCGAAUCUCUCGCGCUGAUACUCCAACCAGGCGGCACUGGGCGUACUGAAGUCAUCACCCUGCUGGCUAGUCCCGAACUGUUGAAUGGCGCAGAAAUUCUGGCAAAACGGGGUCCACCGUUGCAGGCCAGUGAUCUUUUGAUGCACAUCGAGUUGAAGACACUUUUACUACCGGUGACAAAACAGCCAUGGGUAGAAAAAUAUUUGCAAAAUGUUUUAUAAGUAAUCAUUUUUACUUUAUACUAAAAGAGUGUUUUCUAAAGAAACAAAUUUGUAUAGUCAAUAAAGGGUUGAAAAUAAACCAAAGUUGUUAUUAUUAAAUACAACUCUUGUUUACUUGUUUGCCUUAUGUCAAAAUUAAAGAAUUUUAACUAAA